CCUACGGGAGGCAGCAGUGGGGAAUUUUCCGCAAUGGGCGCAAGCCUGACGGAGCAACGCCGCGUGAGGGAUGAAGGCCUCUGGGCUGUAAACCUCUUUUCUCAAGGAAGAAGACCUGACGGUACUUGAGGAAUAAGCCACGGCUAAUUCCGUGCCAGCAGCCGCGGUAAUACGGGAGUGGCAAGCGUUAUCCGGAAUUAUUGGGCGUAAAGCGUCCGCAGGCGGCCUAUUAAGUCUGUCGUUAAAGCGUGGAGCUCAACUCCAUUUAAGCGAUGGAAACUGGAAGGCUAGAGUGUGGUAGGGGCAGAGGGAAUUCCCGGUGUAGCGGUGAAAUGCGUAGAUAUCGGGAAGAACACCAGUGGCGAAGGCGCUCUGCUGGGCCAUAACUGACGCUCAUGGACGAAAGCCAGGGGAGCGAAAGGGAUUAGAUACCCCUGUAGUCCUGGCCGUAAACGAUGAACACUAGGUGUCGGGGGAAUCGACCCCUCGGUGUCGUAGCUAACGCGUUAAGUGUUCCGCCUGGGGUGGUACGCACGCGAGUGUGAACGUACAAUAGAAGUUAGACGGCGUGUAGACGUUGCCGACGGACGACGACGAGGGAGGUUAGG
rnacentral:rRNA from 1 species